rnacentral:rRNA from 1 species
AUACGGAGGGUGCGAGCGUUGUUCGGAAUCACUGGGCGUAAAGGGCGCGCAGGCGGUUUGUCAAGUCAGAUGAGAAAGGCCACGGCUCAACCGUGGAGGUGCAUCUGGAACUGGCAGACUUGAGUACCGGAGGGGAAAGUGGAAUUCCCGGUGUAGAGGUGAAAUUCGUAGAUAUCGGGAGGAACACCGGAGGCGAAGGCGACUUUCUGGACGGAUACUGACGCUGAGGCGCGAAAGCGUGGGGAGCAAACAGGAUUAGAUACCCUAGUAGUCC